UACGAAGGGGGCUAGCGUUGUUCGGAAUUACUGGGCGUAAAGCGCACGUAGGCGGAUAUUUAAGUCAGGGGUGAAAUCCCAGAGCUCAACUCUGGAACUGCCUUUGAUACUGGGUAUCUGGAGUAUGGAAGAGGUGAGUGGAAUUCCGAGUGUAGAGGUGAAAUUCGUAGAUAUUCGGAGGAACACCAGUGGCGAAGGCGGCUCGCUGGGACGGUACUGACGCUGAGGCGCGGAAAGCGUGGGGAGCAAACAGG
rnacentral:rRNA from 1 species